UGGGGAAUAUUGGACAAUGGGGGGAACCCUGAUCCAGCAAUGCCGCGUGUGUGAAGAAGGCCUGAGGGUUGUAAAGCACUUUCAGUGGGGAGGAGGAUUAUUAGGUUAAGAGCUAGAUAAUUGGACGUUACCCACAGAAGAAGCACCGGCUAACUCCGUGCCAGCAGCCGCGGUAAUACGGAGGGUGCGAGCGUUAAUCGGAAUUACUGGGCGUAAAGGGUGCGUAGGUUGUUUAUCAAGUUAGCUGUAAAAUUCCUGGGCUCAACCUGGGGUUGUCAUCUAAGACUGAUAGACUAGAGUAUGGUAGAGGGUAGUGGAAUUUCCGGUGUAGCGGUGAAAUGCGUAGAGAUCGGAAGGAACACCAGUGGCGAAGGCGGCUACCUGGGCUAAUACUGACACUGAGGCACGAAAGCGUGGGGAGCAAACAGGAUUAGAUACCCCCGUAGUCC
rnacentral:rRNA from 1 species